rnacentral:rRNA from 1 species
AGUGAACGCUGGCGGCAGGCCUAACACAUGCAAGUCGAACGGCAGCACAAGAGAGCUUGCUCUCUGGGUGGCGAGUGGCGGACGGGCGAGGAAUGCAUCGGAAUCUGCCCAUUUGUGGGGGAUAACCUCGGGAAACCGGGACUAAUACCGCAUACGACCUACGGGUGAAAGCAGGGGAUCUUCGGACCUUGCGCAGAUGGAUGAGCCGAUGCCGGAUUAGCUAGUUGGAGGGGUAAAGGCCCACCAAGGCGACGAUCCGUAGCUGGUCUGAGAGGAUGAUCAGCCACACUGGGACUGAGACACGGCCCAGACUCCUACGGGAGGCAGCAGUGGGGAAUAUUGGACAAUGGGCGCAAGCCUGAUCCAGCCAUGCCGCGUGUGUGAAGAAGGCCUUCGGGUUGUAAAGCACUUUUGUUGGGAAAGAAAAGCAGCCGGUUAAUACCCGGUUGUCAUGACGGUACCCAAAGAAUAAGCACCGGCUAACUUCGUG